rnacentral:rRNA from 1 species
AUGUACAUUCCUACAACAUAGUGUUAAUGCACCAAAUCCCAUUAAAACUCUGUAGUUAAGCGCACUCAGGUUAGAGUAGUACUAGGAUGGGUGACCAUCUGGGAAGUCCUAGUGUUUUACAUG